GACGAACGCUGGCGGCGUGCCUAAUACAUGCAAGUCGAGCGAAGUUUUUCUGGUGCUUGCACCGGAAAAACUUAGCGGCGAACGGGUGAGUAACACAUAAAGAACCUGCCUCAUAGACUGGGACAACUAUUGGAAACGAUAGCUAAUACCGGAUAACAGCAUUAACUGCAUGGUUGAUGUUUAAAAGUUGGUUUUGCUAACACUAUGAGAUGGCUUUGCGGUGCAUUAGCUAGUUGGUGGGGUAAAGGCCUACCAAGGCGACGAUGCAUAGCCGACCUGAGAGGGUGAUCGGCCACACUGGGACUGAGACACGGCCCAGACUCCUACGGGAGGCAGCAGUAGGGAAUCUUCCGCAAUGGGCGAAAGCCUGACGGAGCAACGCCGCGUGAGUGAAGAAGGAUUUCGGUUCGUAAAGCUCUGUUGUUAGGGAAGAAUGAUUGUGUAGUAACUAUACACAGUAGAGACGGUACCUAACCAGAAAGCCACGGCUAACUACGUG
rnacentral:rRNA from 1 species